rnacentral:misc_RNA from 1 species
GAUGAAGAACGCAGCGAAAUGCGAUAAGUAAUGUGAAUUGCAGAAUUCAGUGAAUCAUCGAAUCUUUGAACGCACCUUGCGCUCCUUGGUAUUCCGAGGAGCAUGCCUGUUUGAGUGUCAUUAAAUUCUCAACCUCACCCGUUUUCUGAACGGGGUCGAGGCUUGGAUGUGGGGGUUUGUGCAGGCUGCCUUCACUGGCGGUCUGCUCCCCUGAAAUGCAUUAGCGAGGUUCAUGCUGAACUUCCGUCUAUUGGUGUGAUAAUUAUCUACGCCGUGGACGAGGAUCAGACUCGCUUCUAACCGUCCGCGAGGACAAUACCUUGACAAUUUGACCUCAAAUCAGGUAGGACUACCCGCUGAACUUAAGCAUAUCAAUAAGCGGAGGA